AACGAACGUUGGCGGCGUGGAUGAGGCAUGCAAGUCGAACGCGAAAGCUUCCUUCGGGAAGUGAGUAGAGUGGCGAACGGGUGAGUAACACGUAAUCAAGCUACCUCCGAGACUGGGAUAACUGUGGGAAACCGCAGCUAAUACCGGAUGGUUCUUCUGGAUCGCAUGGUCCGGUUGAUAAAUGGUUGGGAUCCUUCGGGACCUUCUGCUCGGAGAGGUGAUUGCGGCCUAUCAGCUAGUUGGUGGUGUAAUAGACUACCAAGGCAACGACGGGUAGCGGGCCUGAGAGGGUGGCCCGUCACACUGGGACUGAGACACUGCCCAG
rnacentral:rRNA from 1 species